rnacentral:rRNA from 1 species
AAUGAACGCUGGCGGCGUGCUUUACACAUGCAAGUUGAGCGAGGCCACCCGCAAGGGUGAGUCGAGCGGCGAACGGGUGAGUAACGCGUGGAUAACCUGCCCUGAGGUGGGGAAUAACCCGGGGAAACUCGGGCUAAUACCGCAUGAUACCAAGCGGUCAAAGGGGGCUCGCAAGAGCUCCUGCCACAGGAGGGGUCCGCGUUCGAUUAGCUAGUUGGUAGGGUAAUGGCCUACCAAGGCGACGAUCGAUAGCCGGCCUGAGAGGGUGAUCGGCCACACUGGAACUGAGACACGGUCCAGACUCCUACGGGAGGCAGCAGUGGGGAAUUUUGCGCAGUGGGCUAACGCCUGACGCAGCAACGCCGCGUGG